CAGCAGCCGCGGUAAUACGUAGGUGGCAAGCGUUGUCCGGAAUUAUUGGGCGUAAAGGGCUCGCAGGCGGUUUCUUAAGUCUGAUGUGAAAGCCCCCGGCUCAACCGGGGAGGGUCAUUGGAAACUGGGAAACUUGGGUGCAGAAGAGGAGAGUGGAAUUCCACGUGUAGCGGUGAAAUGCGUAGAGAUGUGGAGGAACACCAGUGGCGAAGGCGACUCUCUGGUCUGUAACUGACGCUGAGGAGCGAAAGCGUGGGGGGCGAACAGGAUUAGAUACCCCUGUAGUCCCUGUCUCUUAUAC
rnacentral:rRNA from 1 species